rnacentral:rRNA from 1 species
UACGAAGGGUGCAAGCGUUACUCGGAAUUACUGGGCGUAAAGCGUGCGCAGGUGGUUUGUUAAGUCUGCUGUGAAAGCCCCGGGCUCAACCUGGGAAUGGCAGUGGAGACUGGCAAGCUAGAGUGCGGUAGAGGAUAGUGGAAUUCCCGGUGUAGCGGUGAAAUGCGUAGAGAUCGGGAGGAACACCAGUGGCGAAGGCGGCUAUCUGGACCAGCACUGACACUCAGGCACGAAAGCGUGGGGAGCAAACAGG